AACUCUCAACAACGGAUAUCUAAUUGCAGAAUUCCGUGAACCAUCGAAUCUUUGAACGCAAAUUGCGCUUGAGGCUUCGGCCAAGAGCAUGUCUGGCUCAGCGUC
rnacentral:rRNA from 1 species